CUCGCGCACUCCGUCCCUUCCCUACUCGCCGCUCCGUCCCUGCUCGCCCCUCUCCACGGUUCACCGCUCCGUCCCUGCUCGCCGUCGCCGCUGCCGCGCCGCCGCCGCUCCACUUCGUGCACAUCCACGCGCUCGGCACCGCCGCACGCGCGCUCAACGUCCCCGCCGCAGCGCUGUCCGCGCCGCCGACGCACGCGCGCUCGACGGUGCGACCCGGCCGCCGCACGCUUGCCCUGCCUCCCCGAGCGAGGACGCCUCCCUCCCCUUCGCCCGGCGCCCGGCACCGCCGCACGCUCGCCCCGCCUCGACCUCCUGCGGAUCCAUGCGCGCGGCUGGCCCGGCGUCUCCCUCGGCGCCCGCGCGCUCGCCGGUGUGACGCCGCCGCCGGUGCCGAGGCAGGACGCUGACCUUCCCUUCGCACGGCGCCAGCCACGGCUGUCCUGCUCCCGGCGGUUCCUCGCGACCUCCUCCGAUCCACCACCCACGCGCCCCUGCCUCAUCUCUUCCUCCGCCUCCGCGCCCCUGCCGCCAUCACCAUCGCCACCGUUCUGUUGGUAGCUGGAGCACCGGCCCGCCCUUGAUGCCGUCCUCCCCGCCGCACCGUCCCCCGUCAGCAACCAUGCCGUACCGCCCCCGCCAGCUAUCGAAUCGAUCCAAACAACCGAUAGCCCAAGUUCUUGCCGCCAGCGCCGCCAGACCCCCCUCAUUGCCGGCGCCGGCGAUACCUGCCCAUCUCGCUCGCCAAUCGCCAUGGCAACUCUCGCCCGCCAAUCCUCCUCGCUGCCGGCGCUGCCUCACUCCCUCUCCUCAGUUGCAUCGAGUGCAGAGACCUACCCAUCUCGCUAGCACUAGCAGCACCAACUAGCCCAUCCUCCUCGCCGCUGGAGUUGCCCCAUCCCAUCUCCAUGGUGAGCUGCCCCGUCCCCCUCCUGUUCCCAGGAGUGCAGGAUCGACGCUACAUCGGAGCUGGAACGGCCAUACAUUUCCACCACUGCGCCACCUCCAUAUUCUAGCUGAAAAUAACAAGGUGGAUCAGACGCCCCUGCCAUGCUUCCCUAAUUCUGCAUCCCUGCCUUCCGAAGACAUGCGCCGCUGACCCACCGUCCGCCAUUAUCCAUUGCUGAUGCACCUCAAUACCCAUGGCUGUCGGGUCAGGCAUGCGAUGGAGGAGUGGGCGUGGAUGCCUGAGGUGUAUCGGAGGCGGUGGACGUGUGGUGUGGUAGAGGAGCGCGACGGCGACUUUGAGUCGGCGCGCAUUGGAAGGUCCUCCCACGUUCCUCGGAUGGACAGUGCUGCUACCAGAGGAGCAUGUGGAACUCCUCGGGGCAUCGCUGCUGCCGGGGAUCGUGGACUCAUGUGCCAGCCGCUGCAGGUGGGGUGUUGCCACUUCUGUGUUAAGCACCCACGCAAGUGAGAGUGCUAGCCCUUCGCCGCAGGUGGGACUGCUGGCUCUCUUAGCCGGUCAAUAGAAAAAGGAGGACAAGACGAAGAUGAUGAGUUUGUGGGCUGUUGGUUGGCACGACUCUACUUGUUCUAUGCAAUGGACAAUCCGUAUGAAGGAUAAAAAGAUAGUACUAGGUGAUGUACAUUGUCUUAUUGAUUAUGUGAACUUUAAGAAUGUUAAUGCUAGGACUGGUUAUGGAUGAUUACUUGCAGAGUUAAGUGCCAUUCUGAAUUAAAGCCUUUACAAUAGAUUUAAGAGAAAAAAAAAUGAGGUUUGGGGUGUUCUGAGUUCAAGAGAUAUAAGCAAAAACUGCCAUGGUUCCUUUUCUACCGUCACUGUUUUUCUCCAUUCUGGUGUGUGUGCUGCAAAUUCUCUAUCCUGCCAAAUUUUUUAUUCUGUUGACAGCACAUUCUGAUAAGUUUUUGGGAGAUUGUCACUGUGUGCGCUGAUCAUGAUUUUUUAUGUGACACCCUUUAUUUUCACCACACAUUUUCCUGACAACACAGCCAAAAGAAGGGAUCUCUACUGUCCAUUCUCUGGUAUCGAUCACUCGCUCACGUCUUAUUUCUUUCGUUUCCACUGACCAAGUUGAGGAGUUUUGAGGAUAAGAGAUUACUGGCCAUGCUUAUAGUUCAUUGCUUGCGACUGGUCUGCUAAAGAUUGCCCGUACUAUGCGGGAGAACUUCAUCAUCAAUGUAUUGGCGUCAGACUUGAAUGCUUAUUGAAAACUACUUUUUCUGCGAACAUAAAAGAUUAUCUUAGCCGUAUCAUAGGCAAGGAUAUAAAAUAGAAUGUAGUGUACAUUUAUUUGAGUAUUUAGUUUACCUUGAUGACAAUUGUGAACAAUGAGUUCGAUUUAUCUCAAUUCUUUUUGGAACGACAGCAUUAUGUAUGAUGAAUAUUGUUAUGUGUUGGUAGAUUUAUAUCUUUUUACACUUUA